rnacentral:rRNA from 1 species
AAAUGAAUAGACGGGGACCCGCACAAGCAGUGGAUCAUGUGGUUUAAUUCGACACUAAACGAGAAACCUCACCUAGACUUGACAUUGAUAGAAUUUUCCAGAAAUGGGAGAGUGCUCGCAAGAGAACUUGAAAACAGGUGUUGCAUGGUUGUCGUCAGCUCGUGCCUUGAGGUGUUCGGUUAAGUCCGUUAACGAGCGCAACCCAUGUCGUAUGUUACUAUGUCAUACGAGACUGCUCGAGUUAAUCGAGAGGAAGGUGUGGAUGACGUCAAAUCAGCAUGACCCUUAUGUCUAGGGCUACACACAUGAUACAAUGGUCGGUACAAACUGCUGCAACAUCGCGAGAUGAAGCGAAUCAGAAAAAGCCGAUCUCAGUCCAGAUUGGAGUCUGCAACUCGACUCCAUGAAGUUGGAAUUGCUAGUAAUCGUGAAUCAGCUAUGUCACGGUGAAUCUGUUCCCGGGUCUUGUACACACCGCCCGU